rnacentral:rRNA from 1 species
GAUGAACGCUGGCGGCGUGCCUAAUACAUGCAAGUCGAGCGAACAGAUGAGGAGCUUGCUCCUCUGACGUUAGCGGCGGACGGGUGAGUAACACGUGGAUAACCUACCUAUAAGACUGGGAUAACUUCGGGAAACCGGAGCUAAUACCGGAUAAUAUAUUGAACCGCAUGGUUCAAUAGUGAAAGACGGUUUUGCUGUCACUUAUAGAUGGAUCCGCGCCGCAUUAGCUAGUUGGUAAGGUAACGGCUUACCAAGGCAACGAUGCGUAGCCGACCUGAGAGGGGGAUCGGCCACACUGGAACUGAGACACGGUCCAGACUCCUACGGGAGGCAGCAGUAGGGAAUCUUCCGCAAUGGGCGAAAGCCUGACGGAGCAACGCCGCGUGAGUGAUGAAGGUCUUCUGAUCGUAAAACUCUGUUAUUAGGGAAGAACAAAUGUGUAAGUAACUAUGCACGUCUUGACGGUACCUAAUCAGAAAGCCACGGCUAACUACGUG